CCUACGGGUCGCAGCAGUGGGGAAUAUUGCACAAUGGGCGCAAGCCUGAUGCAGCCAUGCCGCGUGUAUGAAGAAGGCCUUCGGGUUGUAAAGUACUUUCGGCGGGGAGGAAGGCGGUGAGGUUAAUAACCUAGCCGAUUGACGUUACCCGCAGAAGAAGCACCGGCUAACUCCGUGCCAGCAGCCGCGGUAAUACGGAGGGUGCAAGCGUUAAUCGGAAUUACUGGGCGUAAAGCGCACGCAGGCGGUCUGUCAAGUCGGAUGUGAAAUCCCCGGGCUCAACCUGGGAACUGCAUUCGAAACUAGCAGGCUAGAGUCUUGUAGAGGGGGGUAGAAUUCCAGGUGUAGCGGUGACAUGCGUAGAGAUCUGGAGGAAUACCGGUGGCGAAGGCGGCCCCCUGGACAAAGACUGACGCUCAGGUGCGAAAGCGUGGGGAGCAAACAGGAUUAGAUACCCCAGUAGUC
rnacentral:rRNA from 1 species